rnacentral:rRNA from 1 species
ACAUGCAAGUCGAACGGUAACAGGAAGAAGCUUGCUUCUUUGCUGACGAGUGGCGGACGGGUGAGUAAUGUCUGGGAAACUGCCUGAUGGAGGGGGAUAACUACUGGAAACGGUAGCUAAUACCGCAUAACGUCGCAAGACCAAAGAGGGGGACCUUCGGGCCUCUUGCCAUCGGAUGUGCCCAGAUGGGAUUAGCUAGUAGGUGGGGUAAAGGCUCACCUAGGCGACGAUCCCUAGCUGGUCUGAGAGGAUGACCAGCCACACUGGAACUGAGACACGGUCCAGACUCCUACGGGAGGCAGCAGUGGGGAAUAUUGCACAAUGGGCGCAAGCCUGAUGCAGCCAUGCCGCGUGUAUGAAGAAGGCCUUCGGGUUGUAAAGUACUUUCAGCGGGGAGGAAGGGAGUAAAGUUAAUACCUUUGCUCAUUGACGUUACCCGCAGAAGAAGCACCGGCUAACUCCGUGCCAGCAGCCGCGGUAAUACGGAGGGUGCAAGCGUUAAUCGGAAUUACUGGGCGUAAAGCGCACGCAGGCGGUUUGUUAAGUCAGAUGUGAAAUCCCCGGGCUCAACCUGGGAACUGCAUCUGAUACUGGCAAGCUUGAGUCUCGUAGAGGGGGGUAGAAUUCCAGGUGUAGCGGUGAAAUGCGUAGAGAUCUGGAGGAAUACCGGUGGCGAAGGCGGCCCCCUGGACGAAGACUGACGCUCAGGUGCGAAAGCGUGGGGAGCAAACAGGAUUAGAUACCCUGGUAGUCCACGCCGUAAACGAUGUCGACUUGGAGGUUGUGCCCUUGAGGCGUGGCUUCCGGAGCUAACGCGUUAAGUCGACCGCCUGGGGAGUACGGCCGCAAGGUUAAAACUCAAAUGAAUUGACGGGGGCCCGCACAAGCGGUGGAGCAUGUGGUUUAAUUCGAUGCAACGCGAAGAACCUUACCUGGUCUUGACAUCCACAGAACUUUCCAGAGAUGGAUUGGUGCCUUCGGGAACUGUGAGACAGGUGCUGCAUGGCUGUCGUCAGCUCGUGUUGUGAAAUGUUGGGUUAAGUCCCGCAACGAGCGCAACCCUUAUCCUUUGUUGCCAGCGGUCCGGCCGGGAACUCAAAGGAGACUGCCAGUGAUAAACU